GGGGGUGUACCGGAUUCGACCGGAGGAUUUCGGUGGGUGGACGGCAGGUGGAGCGUAACUCCUAAAACUGCAAAUUCUUUAGUUGCCAAAAAAGAAGAAGAAUUCGAACUCGACGUUGUUGAGUUCGAAGAAUUGGCACUGGCAGCUUAGCUGCCACGAGCUCCGGGAAUGCUGCUUCGAAGUCCCGAUAGCUUGUUAGAAACCGAGGCUUGCUGUUGUGUUUGCAUUGUGACAUAGCGGGACUUUCAGCAGUGCUGGCAAGGACGGAGCGUGUUACCUCUUCUCUGUUCUUGUGAGAUUUGAUAGGUGACUAAACCUGUAGAAGUUCAUUUGUCGCCCUUUGGGACGCGGGUUCGACUCCCGCCACCUCCAUAG
rnacentral:tmRNA from 1 species